UUUUUCGUUUACUGCAGCAGACUAUGUUGCUGCUCAGCGGCUUAGGCGGAGGUUAAUGUAUUUCCAUAUGGAGAUAUUCAAGAAAGUGGAUAUCAUUGUGACACCUACAACUGGCAUGACAGCACCCAAAAUUCCACCAAGUGCUCUUAAAGUUGGGGAGACUUAUUUGCAAGUUUCAAGUUUUUCCCUUAGUCAACUCUUAGCAGAUAUCAUAAACUGUGGAGUUAGUUGAAACUAUACAAAGUUUGUUUCUCUACUAUUUGUAUUCAUAUAUUCUAUAUUUCAGGAAAUC